GGGCUCGUGGCGGAAUUGGCAGACGCGCUAGGUUGAGGGCCUAGUGUCCGCUUUAGGACGUGCUGGUUCGACUCCAGUCGGGCCCA
rnacentral:tRNA from 3 species